ACAUCAGCAACGGGCAGACCAGGAAGAAAACAACACCGUGGACGUUCCUUCUGAGAUGGCAAACCAGAAAGGGAGAGAAGGCAAACCACAGCAAGCGCUGGAUCAUUCCCCGACGAGGAAGCCGAACGCAACAAGUCUGCAUUAGCAGAGGCUGUUUAAAUUCAUUAGCACGACAAUUUACACUUGGGUGGCACCAGCUGCAUCAGUACUUCAAGCUCCUUCCCUUGGUUAUUCACCAGGCCUCAGUUCCCCUGCAGAACAGCCCCCAGCUCGCCGACACAAAUGGGGCGACGCGUGCCGGGCUUUGGGGCGCUCUCAGCCCGCACGCCUGCCCGCCAGGCUCCCGCCUUCGUAUUUGCAGCCCCUGCACAUAAGGAGCGGGCAGGCUGUAGGACAAACCUUGGGCUCCCCGAGGGAACCCACAUCAGAGUGCCCAGACCCAGAUGACAGAGCCCACAGAGCCUGCGGCAGCCCAAACCCAUCCCAGCGGAGCGGCUCUGCCAUCGCCUGGCCCCGCCGUGCUCCCGCGUCCUCACCCCACGGAGCCUGCGAGCCCUGCCAGGCAGACGGCGAGCAGAGAUAACUCCCAGAUAACGGGGAGCAGAGAUAACUCCGGGCGUGCUCUCGCCACGCGUCAUGCACACGUAUUUCCGACACGAUGACGAAGGCUGAAGCACGUCCGAACGUUUCUUCUCGUCUCCUUCCCGAGCCGUACAAACGGCAUUGCUCUCCCGGUGCUGUCCCUUCGUGUCCCGUCUCAGGGAUGAAUUUCUGCACCCCAAACCUGCUGCUCCCCGCUCCCUGCCUCCAGCACAACAGGUUUGCUACCCGGCUCAUUCACCCCAACAAGUCCUCGCCCCCAGCUUUCAGGUUUUUGUGAGACCUCCGGGGUGGCCCCUCCAGGAGCACCCAGCCCCAGGAGACGGAUGCGGCAGGCUGAAAACCAGAGGGUGGCAUUUGAAAAGCGCUCAAGCGUUUUAGCACCCAAGUCUGGCUGUCAGACUGCAGCUGUCAGCCUCUAAAAACGUUCCCUCGCCAAUUUGGAAACCGUCCCCACUCCUCCGAGCGCAGGAUCCGACCCGCCGUGCCCACAGCUGCCCCCAGCCUCCGCCAGGCUCGCUCUGCCCACAACCCCACGUGCGUUGGUCAUGUUUUGCUCGUCUUUUUCCAGCUCCUAUCACCAACCCGCAGGCCCCGGGGACUUCCUUAAUCUCGUUCCUCUCCAGACACCAGCAGCGACAGGGACGGCCAGCCGGAGCUGGCCAAAGGCAACCAACCGCCCCCGCAGCGCCGCCGCUGAACGCAGGAGCUUGACCCGCUGCGUGCCUCGUGCCCUGCAAACGGUGCUGAGACGUGUCACCAAAUCCCAGGGCUUUGGGCUCCCUCUCUGCCAGGACAGCUGGCUCUGCAGGGACACGCUCCCCAGGUGGCUUUAGGGCGCUCUGACAAGGACAGGGGCGAUGAGGGGCCAUUUUCCUGCAGGCACCGGGACGGUGCUGGCUGCUGCCAGACAGGCCGUGAGAGACGGAGACACCCCGCACAGCCCCGGCCCAGGCACACAAACAGAGCAAGGGCUGCGAAGGGGGCAGAGAAGGCAGAGCAAUGACUCAGUGAUUACUACGGGCUCCGAGCAGAGCCCGCUCCACCGGGCGCUGAAUUAGCGUCUCGCACGCACCAGCGAGCAAAAGCAGGGCAGGAGAGCUCGGCCACAUAGUGCUGCCUCGCAGGUACCCUCUGCAGCAGUCCCUUGUGCAGACGUGUAGGAAAUAACGUCCCCGAUACCUGCUUGAGCUGCUAGGUGCAGCGGUGAGGCUGCUCCGUGAAGGACCGUGGGGACCUGGGAGCUCUCCGAUGCAGGAGAGCCACUCGGUGCAGCUGAUCCUACAAAUAACACGGCCGUCCUCCAUCAGACCUGGCCCCAGGAUGGAAAUGUGACUGCUGUGCUUUUCUGUUUUAAAAGGCAGGACCUGAGACGGGCUUUGGGGACGCAGCUAACCCCGCAGGUGGGCAGGAGCGGGUGCCGUGGCUGGUGGUUUGCAGCAAAACUCCGACCACCAGGCCCCAGGCCGGGCCUGGACGAGCCAGCGAGGGGACUGCUCACCACAAGCGGCUGUUUACAGCCCUGACUCACUCCUUCCCUUUCCCCCGAAACGGAAAAGUAUUUACAGCUGAACCCGAACGCUCCUCAUUGUCUCCUGGAGCCGUUGGAGCUGAAAGGUCGUUCCCCUCUGCUGCUGGGCUCAGGUCCUGUCCAGCCGGUCCUGUGCUGGGGACGGCACCCAGCCCUUCCCCACCCGCUCCUCCAGCGCCCUGCAAAGGAAACCCUCCCGGUGCCCUUACAAAGCCCUUGCAAACAGCCUCGAGGAGGCUGAAAAUACUGCUCGAGCACGAAGGGAAGCAGGCAGCAGGCAGCAGCAGCCGUGCCCUUCCGCGCUGGGAUGAGGCAACGCAGAAGCAGCCCACGCCUGCAAGACACGCGUCGGUCACAAGCGACAUGUCCCGUCCCAAAAAGCGAGGUGCAGGAGUGAAAUGAGGGGAUGAAAUGCCUUGAAGGGGUGUCCCCAGGCUCCCUUUAUGUCUCCCCUGAAGUCCCAAAGGCUGUCUGUGAAUUACCCAGAGCAAUAAGGAGAAACUGAGCAACAGGACGAGGGUCUGGCUGCAUCUCCUGGCGCAAGGAAGAGCUCUGUACGUGCUUCCGAGCCCCUGGACUGCCUACGCUGUGUGGUCACCCUGUGUUACCCCAGGUGGGGACACCCAGAGGCCAUGUGCGGGGCUGAGACAUGGCAGUGGCUCUGCAGGGCGCUCCUCCACCGUGCGCGGCUCCACCACCGGCCCACCCAGGGGCAUCCUGAGCUGCAGGAAGGGGAGGUCGGGAGGCACCGAGCCCUCACGGGCAACAAAGGCCAGGUCCCAGCCCAGGCUGCCUGAAUUCCUGAAUUCCCCCGCGUUGAGGAAAGCCCCUCGCUUGUCCCCCGCACCGCUGCCUGCUCCCGGAGCAUUGAGCCGAGUGCGCUACCAGCGCCUGCGGGGGAAACAAGGCUUGUUUUGCUGCUCCUGCAGAGCUUCUUCUGAUGCAGGACAGGAUGGAUGGGGCGAGUAUGUAGAUGUGGAGCGGCGAGACAUCCGUGCAGGUCACAAGCCGAGGGAGCCUGAAUAUUCAGCUCUACCAGCAACGUGGGAACGGCACGCCGAGCCAGCCCCGCCGUCCCCCUCACUCUGACGCAGUUUCAAAACCCUGGGGAAGAGGACGAGGAAGAGGACGAUGCCCCGUUACGGCUCUGCUGCCAAAGCCCCUGCUACUUCGGUAGCCGAAGGUAUGGUUUUGGCAUCAGCAGCAUCCCUGCAGAGCACCUGCCAUCCUUGAGGGACCCUUGCCAGAGUUGCAAGGCAGCUCCUAAAAUACUCCCCAUCACCGCACAGCCCUGCGCAAUACUUUUAAUGUGAACAAACCAAGCUCAGCUGACGACCAGAAAUAACUUUCCACGCAACGCAAACAAACCCUAACUUCAGGGAAGGCUCCCAGAACAGCUUCUGGCUGCCCAAGGGGACAUCCCCGUGCCCCACGGGCCCUCUGCUGCUCAUGGGGGGCUUCGGGCAGCGAGCAGAGGUUCCCAAAUUGUGCCCUGAGUUCGGCCGAGAGCAGGGCCCCGGCUGGACAGGGGCCAGCCGUGUUAGCCCCUCCUUUCUCCUCCGGCUUCCGCACAGAUACUCCUGAUUUCAUCACUCUUUACUCCCCGAGACAGACAGCAGAGAACGCGGUGCAGUAGCCCCGAACAGCUAGCAGAGGUCGCUUAACAUAUGCUAGGUGAGGCAUGGGAAAAAAGAUUUCAGGGCCGCGUUUCCUGCGGCGAGGCUCCGUUCAGCUACGCGCGCUUUGAAGCAUUUUGCUCCACGGGGGAAGCCCGGAAGGGAUGAAGCCCGCGUGUCCUGCCUCGCCGCGCCGGUCUGCUCGCCCGGGAAGCCUCUGGGUCGGAAACGUUUUCACUCGUUUGCCUACGCGUGAAUAAAACAUGCAGAAGGGAUUAGGAAAA